CGGGGCUGCGCGUGACCCCCCCACAGGGCGCCAUGUCUAACCCCGGGGCUCCGCCUCUCUCGCCGUCACAGACCCCAAACAUCUUCUCAGCCUUUAGAGCUCUUAACAGUACCCACAGACUCUUUCAUAGCUUCCAGAGCCCCUCAAAGUCCGCACAGCCCCCACAGAUUCUCUCAUAGCGUCUUCAGAACCCUCACAGCCCCCAGAGACACCUUCACUGCCCCCUCAUCCCCCACUUCCUGUGCUGGCAGAGGCAGCGCGAUGAUGUUGACAUGCAGUGGGUUGUUUAUUUUCGAUACACUGCUGUGUCACUGCACCCUUGUCACGGGUUCGGGAUGGCCCGGUGCCAGUCGCAGUGGGGUUUGGUGGGGUGACCGUCCACGUUACUCCUGUGACUGCUGUGCAAUCCUUUGCCUGUGGGAUCCGAGCAGGCCACUGACACAAUUCGUAGGUUUUAGAUCAAAAUACGAUGAGUGAAGAGCAAAUUCGUUCUGUUUCACAGUUGAUGAGCACUUGUGUGCCAUAAAAAUCUCCGCUCCAUCUAGAUUAAUUGUAUUGAUAGACUACAGCGCUGGAUGUUAUCACAUGUACGGCUGCCCCACCAUUUCAGAGGCAAUGUUGGAGGGUGUGGAGCCACUUUCAGGCCUCUACCCACCUCCCCAACACUUUCUUCCUCUCGUAAUUAAUUCCUCCUUCUGCCAGCUCACCCAUGUCCUCACAGAGGACACUGUCCAAGUUGGUGGUGGCAGCCGAGAACCCAAGGCAUGUUCCUGUGCUCCUGUGGGGGUGCUUGAACUGCAGGGCAGGGCAGGGUGUUGGCCACUGAUGCUGUUCCUGGUGCCUUCUCAUUCUUAAUAAAAGUGUCCCUGGCAAAGGUAUGUUUUAUUUGAGUUAGGAGUUUGUGUGUACCAGUCAUGUCAAGUGUAAAAAUAAUCCUUUUCCCGUAAUACAACUGCAAAGAUCAUUUCCCUAGCCAGUAAUUUUGACCACACGUCUCUUUACUUUCUGUCUUGAUUUGCUUUCAAGGUCAUUCUUGGACUACCUCACCUAUGAUUCAUUAUGAGAUGACAACUCUCAACAAUCCCUGACACCAACUUCCACCACCCACUUGUUUUGGUUUUGGAUAAAUAGCUCUAUGUUUUCUUUCAUUCUGCCUCUCAGAAACUAAAGAGAAGUCAAGAUCCCCUCCACAUGUCUCUUGAUCUUCACCAGACUUGAAGAACCUGUAGUUCUUAGAGCUGGAGAGAAAAACUGGCUCAAACUGUUGCAGUAAUAGUAAUUAAAGUACUGUCCUGGGUUGCAGUGUAUUCUAUUACCAUCCUCAUGAGCUGUUGAAACCAGGUGGGACAGUGUUUCCUU